UCAUGGCCCUUAUGGCCCAGGGCUACACACGUGCUACAAUGGGCGGUACAAGGGUAGCGAUGCCGCGAGGUGAAGCCAAUCCCAAAAAGCCGUCCACAGUUCGGAUUGGAGUCUGCAACUCGACUCCAUGAAGCCGGAAUCGCUAGUAAUCGUGGAUCAGCACGCCACGGUCGAAUACGUUCCCGGGCCUU
rnacentral:rRNA from 1 species